ACAGAGGUCCCAAGCGUUACUGAGAAUCACUGGGUUUAAAGGGUGCGUAGGUGGCACGUUAAGUCAGUUGUGAAAUCCCCGGGCUCAACCCGGGAACUGCUUCUGAUACUGGCGUGCUUGAGGCCAGUAGGGGUCACUAGAACUGACGGUGGAGCGGUGAAAUGCGUAGAUAUUGGGAGGAACACCGGUGGCGAAGGCGGCCCCCUGGACCGGAACUGACGCUGAGGCGCGAAAGCGUGGGUAGCAAACGGGA
rnacentral:rRNA from 1 species